AGUUGGUUCUCACCUCACGUUGUUUUGGGGUGUUACAGGUUCACACGUGAGCAACGCGGCUGCGCGAGGCGAGGGCGUAGCUCCGUAGUUAGCGCCCUACCACCGAGACCAGAGAUAGCGGUACCCUGAGUCGGCUACUUAGAGAUGUAAGAAAAUAAAAGGAAUAAGAUUGCAAUAAUUUGUAAUGGAAGCAUGAUUAUAUUUGGAAGUUAAAUGUAAUAUGUAAUUGUGAUGUAAAAUGUAUCUAGUGAAU
rnacentral:lncRNA from 1 species